rnacentral:sRNA from 1 species
AUUUUGCGUUAGGGAUAGGAGUGGAAAUCCUUUUUUUGGGUGGGUGCGGGCUUUUUCUGCCCGUGCCCGCCCAAAAAAAGAUUAUUUCACAAUAUUAUAUUUCAUUUGGAGUUCAAUGAACGUUGUUUGCAACGGAUAGCCCGACCCUUG